rnacentral:lncRNA from 1 species
CGGAGACGGAGGAGGAGAAAUGGGAGAGGCGGCGACAGCUGCCAUGGAGGGGAGGUGGCGCGGCACUCAGGGGCCGCAUCAGGCGACGACAGCGCGGAGACGAAGGACGAGAAAAUGGAGGCGUCCGGGAGCGAGGACUUCACCGGCGUCAAAGGCAGUGCCGGACGGGACGCGUAGGCACGACGCUCCUCUCCUGGUGCGGUGCAUGAGGGAAGGAGAAGGGGAUCGAGCUAUGCCGGGUUAGUUG